UUUUGUCCCUCCAGGUCUCCCGCCCUUGUGCCAGCCCCUUCUCUCCACUCCCAAAGGGAUUCCCAAGGUUCCCUGAACAACAUAAACCUUGGGCCCUUCAGGCAGGUGUCAGCCACAGGAGUGGUGGGUUUACAAGGGAUGCAAACACAGUUGCCAACCAUGAUAGGAUCACCAUGGAAGAAGGAACAACCAACUGGCUUCAAAGGAAGACAGAGCAGUGAAAGAAAGUCUGGUCUGCAGGCUCUGGGACCUUGGGCAUAUUCUUGAUUUCUCUGUGCCCUGGCUUCUCCAUGUGGUAUCCAUUCUCCUCCUGAAUCCAUUACUUGAUGAGCAGCAACUCAGAAGUCAGUAGUCCCUGUCACUCCAGCUCUGGGCUUACAUAUGCUCACCUCUAUGCCUGCAUUUUACAUGAGUACUCUGGAUCUCAUCUCUUGUUCCUCAGGCUUGUGUGGCUCUGUGCAGCAGACACUUUACAUGGCUACAUCGUGGAAACUGUUCUGUGCCAACUGUUGGUGGCUUUUUCUCUGCUAGCUCUGCAAAGGGAGGGCUGAGACUGCUCUGACGAGGCAGGGAGAGAGAAGACAGGACUUCACGCUCCCGGCUGGGCUGAUUUCUUCUCAACCAUCAGCAAUCAAAUCCGCAUCACCACUGUGAGAAUUAAUUCCU
rnacentral:lncRNA from 1 species